rnacentral:lncRNA from 1 species
GCAUUUUAAGUGUGUCUGUAUAACAUCUAUUGUCAGUUCUGUUCCAGUUUUCCUUUUUAUCAACUAUAUAUUUAAAGAAAACAUAAUUUGAAUAAGUUCACCCACUGUCAAAUUUGAAUAGAAAAUGAAAUUUAACAUAUGUAACAAGUUAAAUUUCAUUGAUUUAUUUUCUUCAUUUUUUAAUAACGCCUGUUGAAGAUUUUCUUUAGAUUACAUAGGUGUUGAAUAUAUUCGAUAUUCACUGUUUGUGAAUAAAGUCUAUUUACAAGAGUUCAUUUCAGGCAGGUUAAAGGUCAUCCAAUAGGUUUAAGGUCGACAAAUAUGCUAAGACCAUAAGACACAUUUAAGGUCAUACAAUAGGUUUAAGGUCAACAGAAAUGCUAAGGCAAUAAGAUAGGUUAAAGGUCUUUCAACAGGUUUUAAGGUCAACAGAAAUGCUAAGACAAUAAGAUAGGUUAAAGGUCUUUCAAUAGGUUUUAAGGUCAGCAGAUAUGCUAAGAAGAUUGAUAGGUUAAUUAAGGUCAACAGAAAUGCUAAGACAAUAAGAUAGGUUAAAGGUCUUUCAAUAGGUUUUAAGGUCAGCAGAUAUGCUAAGAAGAUUGAUAGGUUUAGGUUAAUUCAUCAGGUUUAUGGUUAUCAGAUGUGUGAAAAGUAAUUCAACAGGUUUUAUGUCAUUAGAAUUGUGUAAGGUCAUUAGAUAUGUGUAAGGUCAUUGGAAAUGUGUAAGGUCAUUAGAUAUCUGUAAGGUCAGUAGUCAAUUUAAGGUCAUUCAAUAGGUUUAAGGCUAUUUGACCAGUUCCACUUUUAUAAUUUGGAAUGGAAACUUUAUCUUAAUAUUUUUAUUCAAGGUAAGGUUUCUAGCUUUGAUCAUGUCAAAUCAGCAUAAUUAAUGAAUUAACAGUAUUUUUAAUAUUUUUUUUACACAGAUACUUAAGUAAUAAAAAAUAUGUAGCAAUAUUGAGGUUUGUACAAAUACCACAUUGAAAUGAAAUAUAAAAUAUAAAUUUAAGUUUCUGUGCUUCAUACAAAUGUACUUCAGUCAAUGCUUUUACACCCCAAUGAAUUUACAAAAAGAAACAUUCAAUUCUUAAAUGUUAAAAUUAAAUGCAUAUACAUUUAUGCAUCUGUCAGAGUGCUGAUAGGUCAUGGGUACAUAGCGGAUAUAUAAAAACAGUUAAGAUUGACAACAUCUCUUCUAAAAAUAUCUCAUCAGCUACAUGUUUUCCUGAGUGCUCAUAGGUAAAAGUUAACCAAGAAGUUAUGGAAAAUGUUAAUACCCAUAACACAUCAGUCAAACGGAACAUUUAUUAUAGAACCUACAACUUAUUUUUAUAUCAGUAAAAUCUUCACACUGUAAACUUUAGAAAGGACCCAUGAGACUUUGAUUUAGAGUUAACUUGAUUGGUUGUACUAUUAUUGUUAUUACCCAACAAUACAGUAGUAUUAUAAGAUAAUUGUCUUUAUAAAUCUGACAAUGUCUUACAUUUAUUCUAUCAUCUGGGAAAUUAGCACGACAUUUUAAUCCCAAUUCGCUAAAACAAUGUCUACUAAAAAAUCUCAAAGCAGUAAAACAUUUAUAUACCAGAUUUUUUUCUCAAAUCUUUCAGGAUAAUAAUGUGGACUUGAAGCUUUCUUUGACAUAAAAUCAUUAAAAAAAACUUUCUUUUAAUGACUGUUCUAAAAGUGUGAGAUAGAUAGAAGAAAGAUAUUGGUUGUUGUGUUUUACUUUUAGGAUAUAGUCUAAGGACAUUGUCUGAGGACUAACAGUUUCAAAUAGGUAGAGGAGAGACCUGGGGACCUUGCAUAUAUAAAAAAGAAGAUGUGGUAUGAUUGCCAAUGAGACAACUAUCAACAAAAGACCAAAAUGACACAGACAUUAACAUCUAUAGUUCACCGUAUACCAGUUUCACCAUAUAUUAUUGAGAAGUUAUUUAUUAUUUAUAUAGAUAUGUGAAGUAGAGGUCAGCUGACAAUGACCCAACAACAAAACAGAACCAAAGACAUUUGAAGGUCUACCAUAAUAGACAUCAACCUGUUUGCCUACAUGAUAUUUUUUCCUCCAUCUUUUUAUUUGGAAAAGUGUUUAUACUUAGCAUAAGUGAAAUUAUCUGAACAUUUUCUAUUUAAGAAUCAAGAAGUUAAUUUCCAUUGGUCUCAAGAUAGACUUUGCUCAAUUUUUGGAAAAUUUUAGUUAAGAUUCUGUUGGUCUAUAGGGAUGAUUUUUACAGGCCUAAGGGCAGUUUUACAAGUCUGGGCUGCUGGGCCUGUUGCUUCGUGGGAAGACUGGGUUUUUUUUAACUAAAAUUAAGAUAAAUGUUUCACCACAGACUCAAUCUUGAAGAUGCUAUCUAGCUUUAGUGCUUGCUUUUAAACAUGUGACCCAGGAUUUUUUUUUUUUUUUUUUUUUUUUGCUAUUAAAGUAAAUGUAUUAUUAUCUCCCCUGGUUAUUGGAGUCUUGCACAAAUACAACAUAUUUAUCCUAUUGGAUGUCUACAACCACUCAAUUUACCAAGUAAUAUAUUUUUUCUCUCUAUUCAUCAUCUAAAAAAAGCAGAAAAUGAAUACUCUCUUUGGGAACAAUCCCCAUCAACGAUAAAGUGAUGAUACCUAAAUCAUACAGACAAACUAGGAUCAAUGGUUAAUACCUAUAUACAUAUGUGUAAAAAGAACAUUCAUCUCCCUAUCAUGUUUAAAUAAUAUCCCUAAGCAAUCAUGUACUUUUCCUUUGUAUAACAAAUAUUUUUUUUUCACUAGAAUUAUGUGAUCAAUAUAAAACAAAAAAGUUUUACCCAUAUCUGAUUACUCUCAUUUAGGAACAUUAUUUUAAGGCUUAUAAUUUUUUAAAUAAAACUUUCCAAUAGUAUUCUUACUGCAUUUAACGACCAUUCAAACAAAAUAUUGGAUUGUGUAUUGUUAUAAAAAUUACAACUUCUUGUUGAAAUGAACAGGAUUAAAAAAACAUUAAUGAAGAAAUUUCUGGGGAAAGCUUAAAUUCAAAGAAUAUAUCUGUUUUAAUAUUUAUCUAUUCUGGAAUCAUAUACUAAAAGCCUUGAGUAAGCAGAAUUAAGUCAUAUUUAGCAACAAGGGACUUAAGAAGUUAGGUGUGGGUGCACUUAUACUUAUACUCUGGUCUAGAAAACUGAUACGACACCAAGGGCAAUGCAUGUUGAUUUUUGUGCAAGGUACAGAAACUUCUAAUUAGGCAAACAAGGCAAUAUAUGUUCAUUGGGUAUUGAUUUUGGUAAAUUUAGACACCAGGAAUUAUUUCAGGAUGUGUUUAAGAUUAAAAUAAAGUUUUGUUAAAAUGUAAGCAGUACAAAUUUUGGCAGCCAUGUCAUAAAUGGUGGGCAACCAUUAAUUUUUGACACACGGGAUCAAACUAGCAUGACUAGUCAGUGUUGCCUUUAUAAAGUUAGUACAAUGUACCUGUAUGAAAUUUAGAAUAGAAAUAAUGGAGUCGUCAAUCCAACAACUCAUGAAAGAGAACAGACAUCCAGAAUGGACAUCUUAUAAUGUACUACUAGCUGUUUUACUAAAAUCAAAGGGCAAGUUUCACAAGACUUAAACCAUGUUGGACAUUUAGGGACAAGCUUUUUUUUUUAUACCUUAAAUCAUCUUGGAAGUUAAAAGAUAAUCUCAUUUACAAAGUUUAAGGACAAUCAAUUUCUCACAGAGGCACACAGAAAUGAAUGGAAAUAGAACAAAUGUGGAAUAAAUAAAUUUAGAGUGAUUUUUCUAGAAAAAAAGUUCUUCAUACUUUUUAACUUUGAAAAGUUAGCAAAAAACAUAAUUUCCUAUUUACAUUCCCUGGAACCAUACCACUCACAUCAUCAAACUCUCUUUGUAUAUGGAAAAACAGUAGUCUGGGAAACUUGGAACCAGACACAAUAAACUGUAACAAGAUGACCUGGCUAAAAAUGUCAAAUUCACUGGAAUAAACUUUCUUCUAUAUUUUUGUUAAAUUGAUAGGCUACUGAUAAAGUUUAACACUCUUGUCAAAAAUAAAUAUUUCAAUGUAUACUUAAUCUUUCUUAUUUAACAAAACUUAAAACUUGCCAAGUCACAUACAAAGUUCGAGACAAAAACCAAGCCUAAUGGGUUCACCUCUAGACAUUUAAAUAAAUUCAAAGUUUAAAUCACACCCCUAUAUACCAGACAGGUAAGCAAACAAUAAGAAUUUAUCAGUACUUAACUUCUUAUACAUCCAAAUGUAGACCAGCCAUAUUUCAAUACCUAUAUAAAUAGUUACAGACAGUCCUACCUGAAUCAGCUGAUGUCCCAGACAGAUCGUUACCUGUAUGUCUCACCUGAAAUAUUACCUGACUAUAUUUACCUAUUGAUUUUUGGAUAGGAGACCUUCACUAUGACAACUCUGUUGAAUUUUCAUACUUUUCAGAUGUCUACAUCAAACUUUUCUAAGCCAAAAGCAAUAAAGCCAAUUGAUUUAGUCUGACAUUUUAAAAAAAUACCUUUGUUCAUCAGAAACUUUCCUGCACUUCUAUAAAGGAGUGCAUGGUUCAGCGCACACGAAGGUGAUUAACAUAUUAUUUUAAUUUGAAUCCUAUGACAUUUAAAAGUCUUCCUAUUAUAUCAACUAAUGCUUACUUAACUGCUUAAAAUUGAUAUUGGAAUAUUUAAC